rnacentral:rRNA from 1 species
GUGAAGUGCGGAGACAUUG